GAGUUUGAUCCUGGCUCAGAUUGAACGCUGGCGGCAGGCUUAACACAUGCAAGUCGAGCGGGGAAAGGUAGCUUGCUACCUGACCUAGCGGCGGACGGGUGAGUAAUGCUUAGGAAUCUGCCUAUUAGUGGGGGACAACAUCUCGAAAGGGAUGCUAAUACCGCAUACGUCCUACGGGAGAAAGCAGGGGACCUUCGGGCCUUGCGCUAAUAGAUGAGCCUAAGUCGGAUUAGCUAGUUGGUGGGGUAAAGGCCUACCAAGGCGACGAUCUGUAGCGGGUCUGAGAGGAUGAUCCGCCACACUGGGACUGAGACACGGCCCAGACUCCUACGGGAGGCAGCAGUGGGGAAUAUUGGACAAUGGGGGGAACCCUGAUCCAGCCAUGCCGCGUGUGUGAAGAAGGCCUUUUGGUUGUAAAGCACUUUAAGCGAGGAGGAGGCUACCGAGAUUAAUACUCUUGGAUAGUGGACGUUACUCGCAGAAUAAGCACCGGCUAACUCUGUGCCAGCAGCCGCGGUAAUACAGAGGGUGCAAGCGUUAAUCGGAUUUACUGGGCGUAAAGCGCGCGUAGGUGGCCAAUUAAGUCAAAUGUGAAAUCCCCGAGCUUAACUUGGGAAUUGCAUUCGAUACUGGUUGGCUAGAGUAUGGGAGAGGAUGGUAGAAUUCCAGGUGUAGCGGUGAAAUGCGUAGAGAUCUGGAGGAAUACCGAUGGCGAAGGCAGCCAUCUGGCCUAAUACUGACACUGAGGUGCGAAAGCAUGGGGAGCAAACAGGAUUAGAUACCCUGGUAGUCCAUGCCGUAAACGAUGUCUACUAGCCGUUGGGGCCUUUGAGGCUUUAGUGGCGCAGCUAACGCGAUAAGUAGACCGCCUGGGGAGUACGGUCGCAAGACUAAAACUCAAAUGAAUUGACGGGGGCCCGCACAAGCGGUGGAGCAUGUGGUUUAAUUCGAUGCAACGCGAAGAACCUUACCUGGUCUUGACAUAGUAAGAACUUUCCAGAGAUGGAUUGGUGCCUUCGGGAACUUACAUACAGGUGCUGCAUGGCUGUCGUCAGCUCGUGUCGUGAGAU
rnacentral:rRNA from 1 species